rnacentral:rRNA from 1 species
GUUAAGUGGGAAACGAUGUGGGAAGGCCCAGACAGCCAGGAUGUUGGCUUAGAAGCAGCCAUCAUUUAAAGAAAGCGUAAUAGCUCACUGGUCGAGUCGGCCUGCGCGGAAGAUGUAACGGGGCUAAACCAUGCACCGAAGCUGCGGCAGCGACGUUUAUGCGUUGUUGGGUAGGGGAGCGUUCUGUAAGCCUGCGAAGGUGGCCUGUGAGGGUUGCUGGAGGUAUCAGAAGUGCGAAUGCUGACAUAAGUAACGAUAAAGCGGGUGAAAAGCCCGCUCGCCGGAAGACCAAGGGUUCCUGUCCAACGUUAAUCGGGGCAGGGUGAGUCGACCCCUAAGGCGAGGCCGAAAGGCGUAGUCGAUGGGAAACGGGUUAAUAUUCCCGUACUUGGUGUUACUGCGAAGGGGGGACGGAGAAGGCUAUGUUGGCCGGGCGACGGUUGUCCCGGUUUAAGCGUGUAGGUGUGUGUUCCAGGUAAAUCCGGUUCACUUUAACACUGAGGCGUGAUGACGAGGCACUACGGUGCUGAAGCAACAAAUGCCCUGCUUCCAGGAAAAGCCUCUAAGCAUCAGGUAACACGAAAUCGUACCCCAAACCGACACAGGUGGUCAGGUAGAGAAUACCAAGGCGCUUGAGAGAACUCGGGUGAAGGAACUAGGCAAAAUGGUGCCGUAACUUCGGGAGAAGGCACGCUGACACGUAGGUGAAGUGAUUUACUCAUGGAGCUGAAGUCAGUCGAAGAUACCAGCUGGCUGCAACUGUUUAUUAAAAACACAGCACUGUGCAAACACGAAAGUGGACGUAUACGGUGUGACGCCUGCCCGGUGCCGGAAGGUUAAUUGAUGGGGUCAGCGCAAGCGAAGCUCCUGAUCGAAGCCCCGGUAAACGGCGGCCGUAACUAUAACGGUCCUAAGGUAGCGAAAUUCCUUGUCGGGUAAGUUCCGACCUGCACGAAUGGCGUAAUGAUGGCCAGGCUGUCUCCACCCGAGACUCAGUGAAAUUGAACUCGCUGUGAAGAUGCAGUGUACCCGCGGCAAGACGGAAAGACCCCGUGAACCUUUACUAUAGCUUGACACUGAACAUUGAGCCUUGAUGUGUAGGAUAGGUGGGAGGCUUUGAAGUGUGGACGCCAGUCUGCAUGGAGCCGACCUUGAAAUACCACCCUUUAAUGUUUGAUGUUCUAACGUGGACCCGUUACCCGGGUUGCGGACAGUGUCUGGUGGGUAGUUUGACUGGGGCGGUCUCCUCCUAAAGAGUAACGGAGGAGCACGAAGGUUGGCUAAUCCUGGUCGGACAUCAGGAGGUUAGUGCAAUGGCAUAAGCCAGCUUGACUGCGAGCGUGACGGCGCGAGCAGGUGCGAAAGCAGGUCAUAGUGAUCCGGUGGUUCUGAAUGGAAGGGCCAUCGCUCAACGGAUAAAAGGUACUCCGGGGAUAACAGGCUGAUACCGCCCAAGAGUUCAUAUCGACGGCGGUGUUUGGCACCUCGAUGUCGGCUCAUCACAUCCUGGGGCUGAAGUAGGUCCCAAGGGUAUGGCUGUUCGCCAUUUAAAGUGGUACGCGAGCUGGGUUUAGAACGUCGUGAGACAGUUCGGUCCCUAUCUGCCGUGGGCGCUGGAGAACUGAGGGGGGCUGCUCCUAGUACGAGAGGACCGGAGUGGACGCAUCACUGGUGUUCGGGUUGUCAUGCCAAUGGCACUGCCCGGUAGCUAAAUGCGGAAGAGAUAAGUGCUGAAAGCAUCUAAGCACGAAACUUGCCCCGAGAUGAGUUCUCCCUGAGACUUAGAGUCUCCUGAAGGAACGUUGAAGACGACGACGUUGAUAGGCCGGGUGUGUAAGCGCAGCGAUGCGUUGAGCUAACCGGUACUAAUGAACCGUGAGGCUUAACCUUACAACGCCGAAG